AUUCCAGCUCCAAUAGCGUAUACUAAAGUUGUUGCAGUUAAAAAGCUCGUAGUUGAAUUUCUGGAUGUGAAAGGUGGUCGGCACCUCACGGUGUCUGUACUUAUCAUUCGCGUCCAUCCUCGGGAGGAACAUGUGGACACUUAAGUGGGUCUGCUUGGGAAUCUCGUCAUUUACUGUGAGCAAAAUAGAGUGUUCAAAGCAGGCUUAUGCCGUUGAAUAUAUUAGCAUGGAAUAAUAAGAUACGACUUUGGUCUAUUUUGUUGGUUUACAUUCCAAAGUAAUGAUUAAUAGGGAUAGUUGGGGGUAUUCGUAUUCAAUUGUCAGAGGUGAAAUUCUUGGAUUUAUGGAAGACGAACUACUGCGAAAGCAUUUACCAAGGAUGUUUUCAUCA
rnacentral:rRNA from 1 species